rnacentral:lncRNA from 1 species
ACACCUUAUACACCUUUAAAGGUCAGGGGCAUAAGACUGAGACCCACUGCCCCAUUUCCUCCCACGGUCUCAUGUCUAGAGGGUCCUAUGGAUACCCAGAGAUCUUCAUUCUGAACGGCACGCUAGGCCAGAUGGGGAACACGGAGGAAUGAAUGGCACUGCCUGGCCUUGAGAAGAGGGAGAAGACAAGCCUUCACAUGAGAUAAACAUGGGUCAGCACAUCCAGAGUGCAAUGGAUAAGCCUCGCCCUGGGAAAACCACCUUCGUGAUCAUAGUAUCUCCCCUGCCAGAAAAGGAAGUGUGGACAUGGAAGGAGACCCCAGGGGUGCACGUGCACAGAGGGAUGACCGUGUGAGGAGGCAGUAGGAGGACAGCCGUCUGCAAGCAGGGACAGAAGCCUCAGGAGAAACCAACCUUGCUGGCACCUCGGUCUUAGAUGCCCAGAUUCCAGAACUGUUAGAAAAUAAAUUUCUAUUGUUGAAACCACCCAGCCUGUGGUAUUUUGCAAUGACAGUCCUGGCAAAAUAAUACAGUCCUUCAGAGGCACCUAUUCUUUCUGCCUUUAAUUUGCUUUGGCUUUGUUUUAUGUGUGGCCUUGUUUCAUUUGCUUGUAAAUGACUUGAGGGCGACAUCCAGGAAGGAGUAUCUUUUCCUGUGUCCCCACAGGGUGCAGUUCAAUGCCAGGCACAAAGUGCACAGAAUCAGACCUUUGUCCUCACUGCCAGCUUUGUCGACCUGCUGACAAGGGUCAGGGGGACCCAAGCUGCUAUCCACCCAGGGUGCUUUUCAAAAUUCAAGUCAUGGAAAUAAUUUAGGGAGCCACUUGAGUACUUUUUGGAAAUAAUGAGACAGAAGAGCAGAUAAUAGAAAAUGCCAGCGUGUUUCUCAGGCAGUAAAAGUGUUACUUCAUGCAACUUUGUUUGAUUUUACAUAUUUAUAAAUAAACAGAAUAAUUACAAAU